rnacentral:rRNA from 1 species
GACGAACGCUGGCGGCGUGCUUAACACAUGCAAGUCGAGCGGUAAGGCCCUUUCGGGGGUACACGAGCGGCGAACGGGUGAGUAACACGUGGGUGACCUGCCCUCAGCUCUGGGAUAAGCCUGGGAAACCGGGUCUAAUACUGGAUAUGACUCCAUGACGCAUGUUGNGGGGUGGAAAGCCUUGUGCGGCUGAGGAUGGGCCCGCGGCCUAUCAGCUUGUUGGUGGGGUGAUGGCCUACCAAGGCGACGACGGGUAGCCGGCCUGAGAGGGCGACCGGCCACACUGGGACUGAGACACGGCCCAGACUCCUACGGGAGGCAGCAGUGGGGAAUCUUGCGCAAUGGGCGAAAGCCUGACGCAGCGACGCCGCGUGAGGGAUGACGGCCUCGGUGUAA